AUGGAAAACUGGAAGCAAAUAAAGUCCUUACAUUUUUACAGCACUCGGUUAUUCACCUGGCUGAGGAACACUAUGUAUCAUGAAAGAUUUGGCACAGAAGAGGAAUUGCACAUGAAAGCUUUGGCUUUGGUAUCAUUCAGACCCUGCCACUCCUUGUUUGCUCUUAACUUGAAUGACCAACAGAGAGAAGGUGACUCAGGCCCUAGGAAGAAGCCUGAUGAUGUGUGUCAAACAGGAAGGAGGGCUAGAGCAUCAUAGUAGCCCAUCUGGCAUUACGAACCACAAUUUGGAAUUAUUCUUUUGUAAUGAACAAGAUUCUCUGGGAAGAAGCAGAAUGAAGAUUUGCCAUUGGAAUUAGAAGUUAUGUUGCUGGAAGACUGACAGUGAAAAGGUGAAGCAAAGCACUAUUUAUAGGCAGAGACGCUAUCUUUCAUUCAAUCCACUGAUACAGUUUGAUCAGCUUUCACUAGCUUGCCUGGAGUUUCUUCCAGCUAUAUGCAUUCACCUAAUAAAAUAUUUUAUUUCCUGACA
rnacentral:lncRNA from 1 species